GCUAUGGCGGACGUGACUGGAUUAAGGUGGUGGUUGUGGUGGUGUUUGGUAUGGUUGGAAUGGUUGUAGAGGGUGUUGGUAGUGAUGGUGAACGUGACUGGCUUAUGUUAAAGGUGGUUGUGGUUGUUGGGGAUGGUGGUGGUUGUGUGACAGUGGUGGGUGCAGCGGAUGCAACUGUGUUGUGGUUGUUGGGUGUGGUUGAGGAUUACGAUGGUGGUGGUGGAGGUGGUAGGUGGCGUUGGUCGUAGUCGGAGCGGGCUAAGUGGUGGUGGUGGUGGUGUAAAAAGGUGUUUACCGGACGGAGUGGAAGUGGUGGUGGUGGCGGUGAUACGAUUAUCAGGGAUGAGAGAGAGAGAGAGAGAGAGAGAGAGAGUGUGUGUGUGUGUGUGUGUGUGUGUGUGUAUGUGUACUCCUAUAAUCAGCAAAUUGCAGUCACUCGUUCGCUGUCUCACCUCCCUGUUUUAGGCUUUCUCUCCCUCCCCGCUUCCUUCCUAGCCUGCCCGCCACCCUCUCCCCGCUUUUCCCUGCCUGUCCUCCCCUGCUCCUCGUGUCCCAGGUGACCCAUGAACUACCUCUAACAAUGGUGAUGAAGAACCAGAAGUGGGUUGUAGGUGACGAGAUAACUAUCCCAGGUCAUCCCGGAAGUGGCGAGGUGACCCCAUACAGCUCCACAAGGUCGUGGAGGACGCCAGAUAUAGCCACGUGGUCGCCUACACUCAGCCAUCCACCUCACCUGCCCCAGACUGCUACCCGGACACCAUCCAGCCACAAGAACCCAGAUAAGCACUUCCGGGGUCCUUGGUUGUGGUUAGCUAGCUAGUUUGUUUAGGGGUCACUUGCUGUACAUAGGAACCCUCCUCGGUCUGCUGCUAUUUUUUUUAUUUUUAUUUUUGAGGUGUAACGCUGUCCUCUACGUGAGAGUGAUAGUGUUUAUCUUUAUUUAUUUAUUUUUUUUUCCUGAAGACCAGUUCUGAGGUUAUCUUGGAGGUUAAUGGAGAAGAGUUCCUCACACCUGUGUUUGUUGUUUUAUUUUAUUUUUUUAUUGGUCACUUUUUGUUUUUUGUUGUGAUUGUUAUUAAUUUUAUUUAUUUGUAUUGAAAUAUGUGAGUGUGAAUGCAGCACAAUAUAUAAAGGUGUGCAUUCCAGAGUGAAAGGAAGGCGUGCCUAUUUAAUCACCAGAUUUUGAUUGAUUGAAGCAAAUGAAAACUUUGGUGUGAGUACCUUACAAAGACACUUGACAAUACUAAUGUCACCUCACCUCGUGGUUUCACCUUAAACCUACAAACAUUGGCUGGACACAAGGUCAUAGAAAUAAUUUAUUCUCAUUUAUUCUCAUCUUUACAAAUUACAGUCCCUACACAUCAAAGUAACUAAUCACCUUUAUUCAUCCACUUGAGGGGGUUGAAGGAUCGCUAGUCCCAUAUUAAAUUGCCUGUGUUCAACUCGCCUCUCCUCCCUCAUUUACUGACCAAUUCAUUUAAAAAAUAUUUUGAUCAGGAAAGUUGCAAGAAGAAUGUCUGCUAUCUUUUUUUUUUUUGUACGGUAAGAUUUUUUUUUCGAUGAAAAAGUAAAAAAAAAACUGAGUGUCAAAUAUUUACUUUCAAAAAUUUGUCAGAAAUCAAAAUCAGUUACAAACAAAAAUGACGACAGCAGACUUUGUUCGCCUCUCACAGCUUGAUAAGCCGCAAUGGCCCAUCUGUGUGUAACACCAAUAACAACGGAGAUCAUUUUUAUAUGCAAAAAUCCGCCAUUUUAAGUUAUGUCAAAGUUUAAGGGGUGACUAUAAUACACCUAUUGCAGCUAAGGAGUUGAAAUUCACAUGAUAUAUACAUCACAAUAUGUUGAAAAACAGAUAUAGAUUAAUUUAGUUACUACGAUUGGUUUUGUACAUAGGCCUAAAGUAAUUCAUGAUUUCACCCUUAAUUACCCGGGGGGAGGGGGGAAGGCGGGUGAAAACAAUUUUUGUUAUAUUUCGACUUUUAGAUCAAAACCAGUGUUUAACUGUUUGAAAUAAAUAAAAUAUUAAUGCAAAAGAUAUCUAAUGCAGACACAUUGACUAUUUCCUAGAUUUACGGAAAAAUAUUUAUCUUAUUUUUCGUAUAUAAAUUUGAAAAAUAUAGUUAGACCUAAAAUUACGUACUCUCUAAUGUUGUACGCAGCAAAAGAACCGUAGAUAUUCAUAGGAGACUGAGGAAGAACGGGUACGCCAGAAAGAAAAAAAAAAAAGUCAUGUCUCGCAGCGGGCGAAACCGUGAAAUUUCAUAACAGAAGACCUCAUUACAGAAGGGGAUAUAUAUAUAUAUAUAUAUAUAUAUAUAUAUAUAUAUAUAUAUAUAUAUAUAUAUAUAUAUAUAUAUAUAUAUAUAUAUAUAUAUAUAUAUUUAUCUAUUUAUUUAUUUAUCAAAACGUUACAUAUAUAAAAAAUGGGGGAAAAAAUGUAGAAAAUAAAAAAAAAAAAAAAAUUCAUAUCCGGAUCGUACAACGACACCCUUGAUGCAAAACAUGUUUGCGCGCCUGACGAUGUUAAGACACACGACACACACUUCCCUUGAGAAAAGAUGAUAGCCUUCACGAGUGUCUUACUAUUUCUUUGCAGAGCCCCUCUUCUUGAUGACGACGCGUACACUGUCAGCUACACUUUGCAGUGUCUCACUUAAAUUUUUCUCUAUCUUUGUAUCUCUCCAUUUCAGAUAAAUUGUUAUCUUUCCAAGGGUUGAGAAGAACAUGGUCGUGGUUCAAGUGAAGCCACUACAGCCACUCCCUGACAAGCCUUCCACACCGACAGACAGUGACAGCAGACACACAAGAGACGAUGGUGUGGUGGACAAGAGGAUGCAGGGAGACAGCAGACAGAAUGGAAGCUACAGAUGAAAGAAGAGCAGGUCAAGCCGUGGCAGCAGACACAUAGACAGACAGAUUGGAUAAGAAAGAAGUAUUAUUUAGUGAGACAGGACCACUGGAAGCUGUCAGAGUGCUGUGGCACGUGGCAAGAACCAAGUGUUCAGGAGCACACACUGUCCCUUCACCAGUCAGCAGGUCUGGGCGGCUUGGAAGCCUCACUACAAACUGAAGACCCGUUCACUUGAAGGACACAGUUGGAGUUAUUUUUAAACGAGAGCUUCAGGCAGAAAAUUCGAGUGGAUUUUCAACUCUAAAAAUAACUUUUUUGGGGGGAUAUUUUGAACCUUCUUUAUCUUGAAAAAUAACUCCAGAUAUUAUGACUCUAGCUGGAAGUUGACCUGAGCAAUGUAGGGUUUGCUGCAGUGAGAUUACCAAGGCACGAGUGUCUGGGAUUUAAAGAUGAUGGAUAGGUGUCCUGUGUGCUGCUGUGCUGGGAAGAGAGGAGCAGCAGCAGUCGUGGGGCUCUGUUGCUGCUGUCACUGGUGCAGCUGUUCACUCCUGCAGCUACCUUCCCUCAACAUACUGUGUCUUCCCUCACCUGCAAUGAACAACUAUGAACAAUACUUCUCCUGCGAUGAGGAACAGUGAAUAACACUCUCUCUCUCUCUCUCUCUCUCUCUCUCUCUCUCUCUCUCUCUCUCUCUC